CAGUAGCCACGGUAAUACAGAGGGUGCGAGCGUUAAUCGGAUUUACUGGGCGUAAAGCGUGCGUAGGCGGCUUUUUAAGUCGGAUGUGAAAUCCCUAAGCUUAACUUAGGAAUUGCAUUCGAUACUGGGAAGCUAGAGUAUGGGAGAGGAUGGUAGAAUUCCAGGUGUAGCGGUGAAAUGCGUAGAGAUCUGGAGGAAUACCGAUGGCGAAGGCAGCCAUCUGGCCUAAUACUGACGCUGAGGUACGAAAGCAUGGGGAGCAAACAGGAUUAGAUACCCCUGUAGUCCCUGUCUCUUAUAC
rnacentral:rRNA from 1 species